UUGAUCUCAAAUCAGGUAGGACUACCCGCUGAACUUAAGCAUAUCAAUAAGCGGAGGAAAAGAAACUAACAAGGAUUCCCCUAGUAACUGCGAGUGAAGCGGGAAGAGCUCAAAUUUAAAAUCUGGCGUGCCUCUGGUCGUCCGAGUUGUAGUCUGGAGAAGUGUUUUCCGUGUUGGACCGUGUACAAGUCUCUUGGAACAGGGCGUCAUAGAGGGUGAGAAUCCCGUCUUUGACACGGACUACCAAUGCUUUGUGAUGCGCUCUCAAAGAGUCGAGUUGUUUGGGAAUGCAGCUCAAAAUGGGUGGUAAAUUCCAUCUAAAGCUAAAUAUAGGCGAGAGACCGAUAGCGAACAAGUACCGUGAGGGAAAGAUGAAAAGCACUUUGGAAAGAGAGUUAAACAGUACGUGAAAUUGCUGAAAGGGAAAC
rnacentral:rRNA from 1 species